rnacentral:lncRNA from 1 species
CUUGAACCGAACCAAAAUAAAAUCUUUUCCUCCACCGCCGCCAUCCAUAGCUACCAUCACUUUCCAUUACUAACAUCGUUCCUUUCCACCACCACUCACUGUCACCACGAACCAGCACUAUUAUUGACCCAAAUCUCGAACAACAAACACAAAUCUCACUCAAAUCCACUAUUCAUCUUUCCAAGUUAACGAAUAAGUCCUCAAGGCACCCAAGAUGGAGAAUCUAAUUGCUAAAGCUUAAAAGAGGCCUCCUAUCCAGAUUUAAAGUAUCUUAGUAAAAUUCAAAUAGGCAAGUUUUACAAGCCAAAUCUUGUUGAAGCCUAUGGAAGGACAUAAUUUACGUCCUUGAAAUGGUUUCAGAAAUGUUUUGGGAUCUAAUAACAAAGACUUUUCUAAGCGAGCAGUGGAAAUAGACUGCCCCAUGACCGUGAUGACGUGGGAUAGAGUUGCCACUGAAGAAUUUUUCACAUAAAAUAUACAGUCUAUGGACUUGUUGAAUUCUAUUACCUUUUCCAUUUUGCAUUUGAUACAGGCUAAGAUUUUCCUUCCAUUCUUUAAGCUUGGUUGAAAAAUCCCCUUCUUUUGCAAAGGAAAAUUUGCUGCAAAUCAAACCUCUUCCAUUAGACAGUGGAGAAGAUGGUGGCGUCUAUUGAUUUGGUGGUGGGGGUGUCAAUGGCGACGACGAUGGUGAUAGUGAUGGGCAAUGGUAGAUAACAGUGAAUUUGGCUUUGGAUAGG